CUCUCUCUAACUUCUCUCUAGCCUCCCUAAACCCCUCCCAAGUCUAGGGAACCUCCCUAUCACGAGAAGAAAGCCCCGGAGCGCCCGACGGCUCCGAGAAGAAAAGCUUUCGGCUCGGAAACGCUGCUCCAGCGAAGCCCGGUUUUUAAUAAAAACCCAUUGUUUUGGUCAAGGAAAAAUUGUUUUAAGAAGUAACGAAGAGCUGUCCAAGUGCCGAGUCACCACCUUACCAGGUAGUGGCGCUUGAGCAUAGAUAUGAUGUUGGACGAGGGAUUACGAAUAUAGGCCUGUAGAUAUGAAAUAAUGUAGUAAGGCUUAUAUUGUACUGUUUAUGCUUUUGAUCUGUACGAACAUGACAUCCCAAAUCUUUUAAUGAAAUACAUUUCUACGGAAAUGCUCUUGAUAAAUCUUUAUCAUAUUUUGUUUUGGGACAGGCCGUGAUUUUGGGGAUGUCACAGUAUACAUAUUGUUUUGAGCACUAAUUUGAAUUAUUAAUAUGUUUCUAUUGUGCGAAGCCUAUAUUGGGUGAUAAUCCCCUUUAGGUACAAUCAUCUUGCUUUGAUCAAUUCAAGAAUUCACUCUGUCUCUCUAAUGGUGAGAUGGAUUCUUCAAAAGAUCCAUAUGUGUAGGUUUUGUUGUUGUUUUGAACCUUAUACAUGAUCUGUUGUAUCCAUACAGAAUCAAAGGUAAUAUUUAUUUUGGGUAUAUCUUGGUGUUGAAAUAUUGAUACGUUUUAGUGUUCUUAUGGUAUUCCCUCUAAAGUAGCCUUUUAUUAAUGUUUUUGUUCUUAAGUUAACUAAAUCUGGCUUCACAAAUCUUCUUCUUAUAUGCAGGGUCCACAUAAGGAUAAACACAUCAUCGUUGGUGACAUGGAGAUACUCGUGAGAGCAAAAAAAUAAAUCAUUACUACUGUUUCAUUACCCUUUAUCCCCAAGGGGGUUGAAACCGAUGCCAAGUGCUUUCUUCAUACAUUGUACAAUUCAACGUUUUUUUAGCAACAAUAACAUAGAACAAAGUAAAAAAAAAAAAAAAAAAAAAAAAAAAAAAAAAAAAAGAUAUGGUUAGUAAUUUUGUUUGAUUUUAUAAUAUCUUUACAUGUUCUUGCAUUGUUUAGUUCUUUUUUUUUCCUUUUCUUUUUCUUUACCAUUAAUGGAAUUAUAUUAUGUUUAUGUUUAUAGA